GGGUUGAUCCCACCAGAAGUGCUUCACAAAGCCUUUGCGGGUUAUACAGGAGGGGUUGAGCUGGGUCCUUGAUAAACAUGGUUCAUUCUCUAAGCACUGAAUGACACACCUACUAAUUUCACAUACGGACGUUGCGUUGCAGACGUUCCAUGGGAAGGUUUGUGGGGAAGCUGUUGGUGUUGACGUGCCCAGGACUGCAGGCUGCUGAUGGGACUGGCUGAGGCUCAGUAGGCUCAGCUUUGCGCUCCCCUUCUGCAGUAGACAUGGGCAGAGCUGAGUGUUGGCAUUCGGGGUGGUGGAGGAGUCUCCUGUUGGCAUCAGGGCAGCAAGUCUUUAACCACGGCCCUUCCAUCAGCUCUACGUGGCAGCAGCACUGGGACAGGGUCUUGGCCAGGUGGGAGCUUGCUGUUAAACCUAUAGGAAGCUAAAGCCCAGCGCUGGCAAUGUAUUGUAAGGAGCUUGGCUGGUCCUUGGGGCUUCUGAGAACAUGCUCCUAUUGCAGGCAGACCCAGUCAGGUGGAUGGUGCUCUUUAACCUGAUUUACGUCUUCUGCAGAAGUCAUGGCAAAUUUUUUAGCAGUCUAAAUAUGUGCGGCCACUAAGGAUUUGUAAUAAUAUAAGCUGAUUAUUAAUAUAAGCUGUAGCUUGAAAUGCAUCUCUUCUUGGAGCCAUACCUCAAAUAUAUUCAGCAGAGUGGAGAAGAGGGUGGACAGAGGAGAACUGCUCAUAUCUGACUUGGCGGUAAAUGGAUUUUUCAAGGUUUCUUAUAAAAGAAAUAGCAAGAAAAUGAUUCCAGGCCAAGUCUCCCUUUAGGAGGCUGAUGUACCACCUAAUGUGCUCCCAUUUACAGUGCAGGAUCUUGGACAAAAUGUGAAACAAUUUCACAAUCACCUUCCCGCUGCAUGUGAGCAGGUACCUUCAGUGCAAGGGGAAAUCCUGCCCUGGGACAGCAGCACCAGCACCAGCCUCCAUGCCCAGCACAGCGCUGCAGUGUGAUUCCUCCUGGGAGCACAGCAGGGCCAACCCCACAGUGUGAUGACUGCAUGCAGUGGAGCACAGUGCCAGAAUUCAGGCAUGAAAAGGGUGAGACCCACAUUUGAGCACACACCUCUCCCAGAGCGACAGAUUUCCUAAAUCUCUGCUUUUCAGCCCAACUCCACAGAAGACCGUUCCCACAUCUCCAUCUCUGCUUGGAUGCACGGGCAGAUAUGUGGACUGACAUGCAAACAGCCCCAUCUGAGGAACCAGGUCACAGGGCCGCCCUUUGGAAAGCUCAUCAAAGCAGCUGCUUAAUUAGCUGACAACUAUUGCUGUUUGUGUGAAAGCAGAAUGAGGGCAAAGGCUCACCAGGUGGGAGUGAAGCCCACUGGCUCCAUGCACAUCUGUCAGAUAUAUGGAUGUGUGAGCCGUGAUGGGGGGCCUGCUUGAGCCAGGAGUCAGAAUUAUUAAGAUUGGAAAGAUCACUGUUGGCAUCUAGUCCAGCCAUCAGGGAUCCGAGGCUUCGAGGGCUUAGCCCUGUGCUGCUAUGGGUGCUCAGGUUCUGCAGGCCUGGGGGUGCCCCCAGCACUGCCCCUGGAAGGGAUGGCACAGAACAGACCUGAGCACUUCAUGACCAUUUUGCAGUACGUGUUCUCACCUUGGCCAGGCAGGUCCCAAGCAGUGCCUGCAUGGGAUGCUGGGGCCCUGAGCACCCAUCUGCGUGACAAGGACAGCUGCUGGCCCUGGGGACAAAGACCAGCACUCAAGGAGGCCCACCCCAUCUUUUUUAUGCAAUUUAAGGGAAAAAGUUCUCGAGUGUGAUUGCUGCAAGAAACUCGAAAGAGGUGUGGGAGCAGCGUGAUAUUCUUGGGUUUUGGCAUUCUGAAUUCGUGUCUAUUAAUAAUCCCCUGAGUGAGUCAUAUGGAGAUGCAUUUAUGCACUGAGUCGGAGAGAGCUGCAUCCCGAAAUAGCAGCUCUGUAAUUUUUUAUGAUGCUGUAAUGCCAGCACGGUGCAGAUUGACAUCAUUUAGCAGAGCCGCUGGCUGGCAAUCAGCUCACCCGUGUCAGGCCCUGAAAUAAACACGGGAGCCACGUGCUGUGUUACAUAAACAGCAAAGGAAGCCAUCGCCUGUGGGAAGUGCCUCUUCCCCAUUUCCUACAGCUCUCCCUCCUUUUAUCCCUUAGCAAAAGCAUAAACCCCCAUUGCCCAUUUCCUUAAACUGGAGCACGAGGAGUUACAAGGAGUAACAGUGCCACAUACCCGGCCCUGUGUUUGGCACUCAAAGGUGAAGCCAACUGCCCAGAACAGCCUGACCAGAAUAUUUACAUUUUAUUAAAUCUUUACAAUCAGCAGUUAUAAUCAAGUACACAAUUAUGUACACAGAUUAUAUACAUUUUAGCCCAACCUUUUACAUCACAGUACAUCGUUGCCCUUAG
rnacentral:lncRNA from 1 species